UAUACUAAGUCAUGCCUGCCCAAUGAUUUAUAUUUAAUGGCUGCAGUAAUUUAACUGUACAAAGGUAGCAUAAUAAUUAGUUUUUUAAUUGAAGACUUGUAUGAAAGGUUUUACGAAAUAUAGGCUUUAUUAUAUUAAUUAAUAUAAUUUUAUUUUUUAGUGAUAAAGCUAAAAUUUUUAUAUUAGACGAGAAGACCCUAUAGAUUUUUAUAAUUAUAUUAAUUAAGGUUAUUGGAAUUAUUUGAAUUUUAAUUUAAUAUAUUUAUUUUGUUGGGGUGAUGGUAAAAUUUAAUUAAUUUUUAUAUAAAUUUAAACAUUAAUUUAUGAAUAUUUGAUCCAUUAAUAAUGAUUAUUAAAUUAAAUUACCUUAGGGAUAACAGCAUGAUUUAUUUGGAAAGUUCAUAUUGAUAAAUAAGAUUAUGACCUCGAUGUUGGAUUAAGAUUAAUAUUAGGAGUAGAAAUUUAAUUAUUGCUCUGUUCGACU
rnacentral:rRNA from 1 species